GAUGAACGCUGGCGGCGUGCCUAAUACAUGCAAGUCGAGCGAACAGACGAGGAGCUUGCUCCUCUGACGUUAGCGGCGGACGGGUGAGUAACACGUGGAUAACCUACCUAUAAGACUGGGAUAACUUCGGGAAACCGGAGCUAAUACCGGAUAAUAUAUUGAACCGCAUGGUUCAAUAGUGAAAGACGGUUUUGCUGUCACUUAUAGAUGGAUCCGCGCCGCAUUAGCUAGUUGGUAAGGUAACGGCUUACCAAGGCAACGAUGCGUAGCCGACCUGAGAGAGUGAUCGGCCACACUGGAACUGAGACACGGUCCAGACUCCUACGGGAGGCAGCAGUAGGGAAUCUUCCGCAAUGGGCGAAAGCCUGACGGAGCAACGCCGCGUGAGUGAUGAAGGUCUUCGGAUCGUAAAACUCUGUUAUUAGGGAAAAACAAAUGUGUAAGUAACUAUGCACGUCUUGACGGUACCUAAUCAGAAAGCCACGGCUAACUACGUG
rnacentral:rRNA from 1 species